GUGCUCACUUCAGCAGCACAUAUACUAAAAUUAGAAUGAUACAGAGAAGAUUAGCAUGGCCCCUGUGCAAGGAUGACAUGCAAAUUCAUGAAGUGUUCCAUAUUUUU
ensembl:snRNA U6 U6 spliceosomal RNA